rnacentral:misc_RNA from 1 species
GAUGAAGAACGCAGUGAAAUGCGAUAAGUAAUGUGAAUUGCAGAAUUCAGUGAAUCAUCGAAUCUUUGAACGCACCUUGCGCCCUUUGGCUAUUCCGAAGGGCAUGCCUGUUUGAGUAUCGUGAACACCUCAACUCUCAUGGUUUGCCAUGAUGAGCUUGGACUUGGGGGUUUUGCUGGCCUUCGGUCGGCUCCUCUCAAACGGAUCAGCUUUCCAGUGUUUGGUGGCGUCACGGGUGUGAUAACUAUCUACGCCUGUGGUUUUCUGCCAGAUAACCUUCAGCGAUGGAGGUUCGCUGGGGCUCAUAAAUGUCUCUCUUCAGUGGAGACAGCUUUUUGGACGUUUGAUCUCAAAUCAGGUAGGACUACCCGCUGAACUUAAGCAUAUCAAUAAGCGGAGGA